rnacentral:lncRNA from 1 species
GAGAUAAUAAGCUCACUUUACCUCAGGACCUUUGCAGCAGCUCUGCCCUGUGCUUAGAUUGAUCUGUCACGAAACCUUAAAGUCUGGCUGAUUCUCAUUCUUCAGAUUCCAGGGCAAGUGCUAAGUCCUAAGUGCUAAGUGGUUACAAGGGACCCCAGAAUCAUGCUGGAGGUGAAACAGUGACAGAACGGGCACUUCCAGUAAGAAACUGAAGACUGGCUGCACAUCAAUUCACUCAGCGACUGGAGGUAGAGCUUUUGGAAACAGCAGACUCUAUGACUACAUGCAGAAACGCUAGCAAUUGUUUCAUCUGGGUCCUAUAGAAGACUGUGACCUUCUGGGGAGGAUCUGUCAAUUCACUGAUGUUAGAAAAGUAACCAGCUUUAACUCAGGGCAGACUGACUUGGAAUAAUGUAAAACCAAACCAGGAUAUCAUAAGUUAUGGAAUCAUUCUUGAAAAACAAAAAGAGUUUUGCCUGUAAAUGAAAAUUCAGAAAUAUCAGAGGAAAUAACAAAAACCAGUCAGGGAAGCAUGGCUUUGCAAAUGCUUCAGAAGAAUUGUAAUAUUAGGUACUAUCUGCCUUUAAGAAAAUAGAAGCAGCUGGUGUGGUGGCUCAUGCCUGUAAUCCCAGCACUUUGGGAGGCCAAGGUAGGUGGAUCACCUGAGGUUAGGAGUUCGAGACCAGCCCGGCCAACAUGGUGAAACACCGUCUCUACUAAAACUACAAAAAUUAGCUGGGUGUGGUGGCACACGCCUGUAAUCCUAGCUACUCAGGAGGCUGAGGCAGGAGAAUUACUUGAACCCGGGAGGUGGAGUUGCAGUGACCCGAGAUCAUGCCACUGCAUUCCAGCCUGGGAGACAGAGCGAGACUCUGUCCAAAAAAAAAGAAAAGAAAAGAAAAGAAAAUAGAAGCUAGGACCAGUUAUGGUGGCUCAUGCCUGUAAUCCUAGUGGUUUGGGAGGCCAAGGUGGGAGAACGGCUUGAGGCCAGGAAUUCCUGAUCAGCCUGAUCAAUGUAGUGAGACUCCAUCUCUACAAAAACAAAAACAACAACAACAAAAAAGUAGCUGGUCAUGGUAGUGACACGUAUCUGUCGUCCUAGCUACUCAGGAGGCUGAAAUGGGAGGAUUGCUUAAGCCCAGGAGUUUGAGGCUGCAGCUAGCUAUGAUUGAUUGCUCCACUGCAGUCCAGCCUGGUUGACAGAGCUGUAAAGAAAAGAAAAGAAAAGAAAAGAAAAGAAAAGAAAAGAAAAGAAAAGAAAAGAAAAGAAAAGAAAAGAAAAGAAAAGAAAAGAAAAGAAGAAAAGAAAAGAAAAGAGAAGAGAAGAGAAGAGAAGAGAAGAGAAAAGAAAAGAAAGGAAAGGAGAGAAAGAGAAAGAGAAAGAGAAAGGAAAUGUAAAAAGUAAAGUUGAGGUUCCUCUUCAAAGACUUUCCUCCCCAUCUAAUUAGGAAUAAAUAGUAACUUCUCUUAGAAGCAAAAUUUAUUCAAAGACUUGUGCUAAUAUUCUUAAAUAUCUGCUAGCUGUAAUAAAGAAAUCAAUGUACUUUAUGUUCUUACCUCCCACAAUUUAGCCUAAAUAUUUGCCCUAGCAUGCUUAUACUAGUCCAAGCAAGCAUUAGGUCAUAGCCUGUUCCUCUU